UACGGAAGGUCCGGGCGUUAUCCGGAUUUAUUGGGUUUAAAGGGAGCGUAGGUGGAUUGUUAAGUCAGUUGUGAAAGUUUGCGGCUCAACCGUAAAAUUGCAGUUGAAACUGGCAGUCUUGAGUACAGUAGAGGUGGGCGGAAUUCGUGGUGUAGCGGUGAAAUGCGUAGAUAUUAGGAGGAACACCAGAGGCGAAGGCGGCUAACUGGACUGCAACUGACGCUGAGGCACGAAAGUGUGGGGAGCAAACAGG
rnacentral:rRNA from 1 species